GUUUGAAGUGGGCGCGCACUGAUGCACUUGACUGCAUUUCACUAACGGUUGCAGACUUCUCACCUCAAAGCCAGCGAAGUUUGGUUCAAGAACAAAAGAUCUGAGUAAAGCCACGGUAUGGAAAAGACUUGGAUGUACAAUGAUAGGGGUAAUUCAUGAAGAAGGGCAUUAAGGCUAGUUGGUAAA